AUGAAUGGCCAUUUAAUGGCCUUCGACCCUUCAAACUCUGUGGAGGUAAAGUGUGUUUCGGUGCUUCGGCGCCGCCUUUAUGCUGUAAAAAAGUCUGUGUCUGAAUUUAAAAUAUAGUCUAA
rnacentral:misc_RNA from 1 species